UUGACGAACAGAUCAUUGCUUCACUUUAAAUAAGGUUUUGCAGCCAGGCGUGGUGGCUCAUGCCUGUAAUCCCAGCACUUUGGGAGAGUGAGGCGGGUGGAUCACUUGAGGUCAGGCAUUCAUGACCAGCCUGGCCAACAUCAUGAAACCCUGUCUCUACAAAAAAUACUAAAAUUAGCCAGGUGUGGUGACACGCGCCUGUAAUCCCAGUUACUUGGGAGGCUGAGAGGCACGAGAAAUCUCUUGAACCCGGGAUGGGGAGGCUGCAGUGAGCCAGGAUUGUGCUACUGCACUCCAGCCUGGGCAACAGAGUGAGACUUCGUGUAAAAAAAAAAAUUAGGCUUUGCUUUUUUCUCAUGGAAUUAAAUAUUUUCAAAUGUAUUUCCAACAAAAUGAACUAAUUUUUCUAAUCUUUUUUCCCUUCUAAUAUCUAUAUUUUAAGCUACAAAUUUUCUUGCAAGGAUUCCUUUAGUUGCAUCCUACAAAUUUUGAUGUGUUUUUCUUCGCAUUCAGCUCAACAUAUUUUGAAAUUUCUCUUGUGAUUUCUUCUUUGAUAUAUUUAGAUAUGCAUUACUUAACUUCAAAUAUUUGGCAUUUUUAUGUUAUUAAUUUCUAGUGCAAUUUAAUUAUGGUCAGAGCCUACUCUGUAUCGUUUCAUUCCUCUGGAAUUUAUCAGGACUUGAUUUAUGGUCUAGUAUAUGGUCCAUUUUGGUGAAUGUUCAUGUGCACUUGAAAAAAAUAUGGAUUCUGCAGUCGUUGGGUGAAAUGUUCUCUGUGUGCUGAUCAGGUCAAGUUGGUUAAUAUUGUUAGUUAAUAUUAUUGUUUGAAUGUUCUAUAUUCUUACAGAUUUUCUUAGUCUGCUGUAUCAAUGACACAGAGAGACGUGCAUUAAAACCUCAACCAUGUGGAUCUAUUUCUUUUCAGUUAAUUUUGCUUCAUGUAUCUUGAAGCUCUGUUAUCAGGUGCAUGCACAUUUGGGAUUGUUAUGCUUUCCUGAUGAACUGACCUUCUUUCAUUAUGCAAGGGGAAGAAGAUGCUGCAUACAGGAUGGAAUAUCCAGGGGAAGACGUCUAAGGAGAGAUGCCCAGCUGGGAGUCCUAUGCAAGGGGAAGAAGAUGCUGCAUACAGGAUGGGAUAUCCAGGGGAAGAUUUCUAAGAAGAGAUGCCCAGCUGGGAGUCCUAUGCAAGGGGAAGAAGAUGCUGCAUACAGGAUGGGAUAUCCAGGGGAAGAUUUCUAAGGAGAGACACCCGGCUGGAAGUCAAGAUAUGUCAGUUGUUUCCAUUAUAAUAAAACCACUCAUGUUAGAUGAGCUGAACUUUCCCUUUUCCCCAGUUCUUACGAUCAAAAAGUGGCUGUCCUAAAUUUCAUCACUCAAUAUCCUUGCUAGAGUCUUCCUUUGUCAGCCAGGCUGGAGUGCAAUGUGCAAUGGCACAAUCUUGGCUCACUGCAACCUCUGUCUCCUGGGCUCAAG
rnacentral:lncRNA from 1 species